GCUCAUCCUUGCCUGCACUGGGAAUUGCUCAGACCUGAGAACUUUCACCAAGCUGGUAAGCAAGGCCCGUAUUCAUCACUCCCUUGACUGGUUCCUUCUGGGCGACAGUGGAUGGCUUUUCUUACUUAUUAAGCAUUGUAUUUCUUUCCUGUGAACUGCAUGUUUGGGCAAUUUCCUACUGGAUGGCUGUGUCCUACAGUGUUCUGCUUGCUCCUUGUAAAUCAAAGAAAUUAGACCUUUGUCAUAUGAGUAACAAAUACCUCUUCUGUCUAACCCUUUCUCUUUGGCUCUGUUUAUGGUAAUGUUUUUGCAAUGCUUUCUUGUAAAGAGAAUGUUCAAGUUGCAUCUUGAACGAUGAGUCAUCACAGUAAUUACUGGCAACCAUGUAUGCUUCGGACGCGCUGAGCUUGCUUCUGAGAGGUGAACGACAUAUUAACUCAUUUAAUUCCACCCCCCAAAGAUCGUUUACUUUCCCCCCAAACCCCAGGGGGUAAACCUACAAUCCCCUCUAUUUUAAGAGAAGAAACAAGCAGGUUGUCAGGUCAGGGAAGUCAUUUGUCAGGACCUCACAGCUGGUGAAAGCAGAGGCAGGCAUCAAAACCACAAGCAGCCAUUUGCCAGGCAGUCUGGGCACAGUGGCAGAGACUUGGAGGUGCCAGCCUGAGGCUGGGCUGACCCCUGGAGAGAAAGGGCAAAGGAAGCUGGUGAGCACAGGGUGAGGGGUUCUCACUUGGUCAGAAGGGCCUCCACGUUGAGUUUCCAUGAACUCAGAGUCCAUGUCUAGACCUCGUAUUACUUCACAGCCUGAAGAAAAUGUCCAGGGAGCUGGAAGGAAAUGGAAACACACCUCAUUGUGCCUGAAUACACACAAGUGCUGUAAGGCAUGUGUCUUAGUUAGGGUUUCAUUGCUGCAAACAGACACCAUGACCAGGCAACUCUUAUAAGGGACAACAUUUAACUGAGGCUGGCUUACAAGUUCAGAGGUUCAGUCCAUUAUCAUCAAGUUGGGAGCAUGGCAGCUUCCAGAUAGGCACGAUGCAGGAGGAGCUGAGAGGUCUACAUCUUGUUCCAAAGGAAAACCGGAGAAGACUGGCUCAUGAGCAGUUCGAAGGAGGGUCUCAAAGCCUACCUACACAGUGACACAGUUCCUCCAAUAAGGCCACACCUACUCCAACUAGGCCACACCUCCUAAUAGCUGCACUCCCUGGGCCAAGUAUAUUCAAACCGCCACAGCAUGUUAUCAGGCUGAGCCAAUGACUCAAUAAUCCUUUCUAGGAUCACUGACAUGGCUCCUGGGAUUCCCAGCCAUGGGGUGGGCAAGCCUUAUAUACUUACAUAUAUAUAUACAUAGAUGGCCUUUGCUUUAAGGGGCACUGGCAGCAAAUGUUUCUCUCGGUGGCUAUCUUACCACAUACAGGUGCAUUUUGGGAUGUCUUCUUGGGGCAGCCUUGGCUAAGGUACCAUUCUCCAAGAGAACACAUCCAAGAAGAUGGAUCUGCAGCCCGACAGUCAUGUGUUGCCUUCAAAGACAGAUAAAAAUGAUGGCAGAUUAAGUGUGCCUCUGUCACUAAUAUCUUAGAGCCUACUUGUAAUCUCAGCACUUGGGAGGUACAGGCAAGAGAAUCAGAAGUUUGUCAUCCUCUGUUGCGUAUCAAGUUCAAAGCCAGCCUACCCUAGAUGAGAUCCUGCUUUAAAAAAAAAAGUUUAAAAAUUUAAAAUUAUGAUGUCUUUCCAACUUGGAGGUGGUAUUAAGUCCUGUGCGAUGGACAGAAAAUUCUGGCUUGACAAAAUGUCAUGUUACUUGCUAAUAGUGCCCUGCUCGGCUACCUCUUGAUGGUGUCCAGCAGCUUUGCUGAUGCUUCUCUUGGCUGAGAUGGGAACUGUAGGAACUCUGGCUUCUGAAGCAAUGUGCUGAGGGAGGAAGAGUCCAUGAUGCAGAGCCUAGUAACUCAGUAUCACCUGUCAGGGAUGCCAAGACGGUAUCAGCACCCACCCCAGCCCCAUCCUGUGCCAUGGCAGGUGUUGCUAACCAAUCAUGCCAGUUUGCCUGCUGAACCUGGCUUUGACUCUUUGUAUCUCUCACCUCAGGCUAAUAGCUCAAAGCAGCAAUGCUGGGGUCUGACAAACCUGAGUUUAAGUCCUGAGGAACAUGGACAAUUUACUCAGCAUCUCUAAGCUCUGUCUUUUUUUCCCAUUAAUCAGUCCCCAGAACUCAGUGACAAGGUAAAAUGGGCAGCUUGUCACAGAAAUGCCUUGAUAGAUGUAAAUCCCAGUUUUAUUCACACUGGGAAAGUUACAUGAAGUCUGUGAGCCGCUAAAUGUGUGGCUAAGCUUAGAUCAGUCUGAAGUCAACCCCUCCUUUAGGAGAGCGAGGCUGUCUCCCUACGUUUUACAUUUAUUCACUGAUUUUCUUCUAAUUGCCAUUUGGGGGUAGGGCAGGUCCUGUUCUAGACUCUGGAGCAAAGGUCCUUUCUUCUACUUGAAGAGCUUCCUUUAUGGUGAGAAGAGAGACAGUCAACUGUCAAGCUCUUGCUAUCAUGUACAAAUCAUGUUGUACUGACAAGUGGAAGUUCCUUGAAGAUUCCAGGUUCCUAACACUGAGGGAUGGAGGUGACAAGCCCUCUGGCACGCCACAGAUUCGUCUUGUUCUCAUUCAUGAAUCCACCUUCUUACCCAUGCAAUCAGAUAUACAAUCAUUCAACAUCACGACAAUAAAAUGAUUCUCAAGGGGUCAAGCCUUGUCAAAGGGAAGCUAAAUCAGGAAAACCUUUGUUCCUUAGAGAAGCCCUUCUUUAUAAUUAAGUCGAGGAUUAGCCAUAUCCAUAACAGUAAGACCUAUAUUUACAGACUCUGGGAUCCCCAUUGGUAAGAAUUUCCUCUGGACAUUGAUAAGAACUUGCUGUGAUGUGUGCACAAGAAGUUCUCUGGAGAGUUUUGUAGUGGGGUGAGAAGAUAAAUUAUCCAUCUAUAUGGGAGUGGCUGAUGAAAUUGUGAUCUACUCAAAUGAGGGGAUCUAUGAAACCAGAGGCUAUAAAACGUAAAGAAUAGAUGUGUGUAAACUAUAGGAACACAUGGAAACAAUGCUCCCACUCAGAUGGGCUCCGGGUCCCCCACAGCACAGCAGAAUCGCUGUCCCACAGAGUCCUUGUGAUGUUCUGUCCAUUUUUUAAAAAGACAGAAUCUCUGUAGCCCAGGGUGACCUCGAACUCCUGAUCCUACUGCUUGUAUGUUCCAAGUGCUGGGAUUAUAGCCCUGUGUCACCAUGACAUCAGAUUCUUGAGGUUAUUUUUCUAUAUUCAAAAUGCUUACAGAUAAUAGAUAUGAAAGUGUAUGUAUACAUUUCUCCAAAGUUGGCUGUGUGAGGGAUAACAGAAGGAAUUUUGCACUCCAUUUUCACUGUGCCCUUUUCAAUGUGUUAGUUAACCAAAUGCUUGUACUUUCUGUACAUUAAUAAAUAUUAUGCAGGGCCUG
ensembl:lincRNA Gm43135 predicted gene 43135